UUGAAAUGAUGACAGCACAGCUGCAACACCGCAGUCAGUAACAUCAGUAACGUUUGAGGUUAUCUUCUUCUUCUUGAUGGCCUCAACCAAGAUACCUAAAACAUAUGGUAUACCGACUGCCUAUCUUUCCUUAAUAAAAAAAUUGGUCAAAAAACUUAUAUUUUGGUCAAGCACAUUAAAUUUUGUGUAACGUCAAACUAAAACAAAGGUUAUGUUAUUUUGGAGUUAUAAGAUUAGAAGGAAGCGAAGGAAGUAAUAACGUUUGACGUUAUAUAUUUAUUACGAUUAUUAAUACAGACGACAGUUUGUUAGAUUUUCUGUUAUUUGAUGUUAUGAUUUAAUUGAUCUGAUAAAAAUGGAUACAAAAAAGUACGGAGUCAGCUUAUCGGCUCUAAAAAGUUUACAAGAUUUCCAGCGUUCGCUCUUGAAUAAGAAACGAAAAAAAUUAAUUAGAAUGCCUUUUGCAGUUGAAUGUUUGUUUUCCAUCAAUGAUGAAGAACCGUAUCGUUGCGGUAUAGUAGCAGACUCGGGACUUGUGUCUUCUGAAGUAUUUGGUGUGAUUUAUUUGAAAAAUCGGGUUGCAUCCAGUACUGAAACUAAUACUACUGUGGUAUUUGAGGGUAAAGGGCCAUUACGUUUAUUUCAGAAAAUGUCUAUACGAUUUGAUAGUAAAGACGACAAGGAUGCUUUUAUGACCAGCAUUCAAAAUGUUCUAAGCUCGGAUUCAGAUAGUGGCAGUUCAAGUAGUGGCGAUAGUGUAUUACAGUAGUGUAUUAUUUGUUAUACAUUGAUUUGGCUGAAUAAAUAAUUUUUUGUAUUCAUA